GUAGGGAAUAUUGGGCAAUGGUCGGAAGACUGACCCAGCCAUGCCGCGUGCAGGAAGACGGCCCUCUGGGUUGUAAACUGCUUUUAUCUGGGAAGAAAAGGGCCAUGCGUGGCAAAUUGCCGGUACCAGAUGAAUAAGCACCGGCUAACUCCGUGCCAGCAGCCGCGGUAAUACGGAGGGUGCGAGCGUUGUCCGGAUUUAUUGGGUUUAAAGGGUGCGUAGGCGGCUGAUUAAGUCAGCGGUGAAAGACUUCGGCUUAACCGGGGCAGUGCCGUUGAUACUGGUUGGCUUGAGUGUCGGAGGGGUACAUGGAAUUGAUGGUGUAGCGGUGAAAUGCAUAGAUACCAUCAGGAACACCGAUAGCGAAGGCAUUGUACUGGCCGACAACUGACGCUGAUGCACGAAAGUGUGGGGAUCGAACAGGAUUAGAUACCCUAGUAGUCC
rnacentral:rRNA from 1 species